rnacentral:rRNA from 1 species
UACGUAGGGAGCGAGCGUUGUCCGGAAUGACUGGGCGUAAAGGGUGUGUAGGUGGUUUGGCAAGUUAGAAGUGUAAUACCAGGGCUUAACUCUGGUGCUGCUUUUAAGACUGUUAGACUUGAGUGCAGUAGAGGUUAGUGGAAUUCCUAGUGUAGCGGUGGAAUGCGUAGAUAUUAGGAGGAACACCAGAGGCGAAGGCGGCUAACUGGACUGUAACUGACACUGAGACACGAAAGUGUGGGGAGCAAAC